CGGGACGGGUGAGUAACGCGUGGGUAACCUGCCUUACACAGGGGGAUAACACUUAGAAAUAGGUGCUAAUACCGCAUAAGCGCACAGCUUUGCAUGAAGCAGUGUGAAAAACUCCGGUGGUGUAAGAUGGACCCGCGUCUGAUUAGCUGGUUGGCAGGGUAAAGGCCUACCAAGGCGACGAUCAGUAGCCGGCCUGAGAGGGUGAACGGCCACAUUGGGACUGAGACACGGCCCAGACUCCUACGGAAGGCAGCAG
rnacentral:rRNA from 1 species